GCGGCGUUUUUCGUAUAAACACGGCGAAUUUUUUUAAUGGCGUUUUUAUUCUUCGAUACCCAACAAUGGCUGAUAUCAUCUCCUUGAUUCCCUUUUCUUUCUCAGUCUUUUCUUUGCUUGACUAAAAUAUACAAACAUUGUUGUUCUAUUUUAUACACCAAAAUCCUCUCAGUUCUACUCUACAGACAUAUUACCUUCCCCAUCCACAUUAUUUGAUUUCUCGAAACCCUAAACACCCACUGGGGUUUCAGCAUCAGAAGGUACUUUUUCAUGGAAGCCAAAAAAUUGCGAUGCACCUAAGGUUGCUGAAUGUUUUACCAGGGUUGCAGAAACAAAGUUUCCGAUUAAGGUAGAAGAGUUCUUCAAUUUGUUUUUUUCGGAUAAUGCUGUUAAUUUCAUUGAAUCUUUUCAUAGAAGGUGUGGAGAUAAAGAAUUUAAGUGCUCUUCAUGGUGCCCUCAUGACAAAUUUGGACAUGUCCGUGAUGUGUCAUUUCAACAUCCAAUAAAAAUAUGCUUUGUCGGUUAUAGAGACACCACAAGAGAUCAGUGAUGUACCAUAUGGAGAUUAUUUCCGUGGAGAGGUACAAGCUAGACCUGAGUUCCCUUGAAAUGCGUUAACGUGUAAAGUGCUCUUCUGCUUUCCAUCCCUAGUUUGCCACUAUUAGGUAUAAAUUAUCCUGCUAUAAGAUUAUGGGUCAGAAUUUUCAGAAACAGAGGAAAAUUGUAUUUUAGCCCUUCAAGCUGAGAACUAAAUACAAAAGCAUGAUGUUGUGUCCACAUUUUGUUGGUGUAUGUUCAUGCAAUAUAUGUUGGAGACAAAUUUGUCCAUUGCAUUUCAACGAGUUUACAUUUUGAGCUGAAAUGGAAUUAAAUUAUUUGAUCGCUAUAA